UACAGAGGGGGCAAGCGUUGUUCGGAAUUACUGGGCGUAAAGGGCGCGUAGGCGGCCUGUUAAGUCGAACGUGAAAUCCCCGGGCUCAACCCGGGAACUGCGUCCGAUACUGGCAGGCUUGAAUCCGGGAGAGGGAUGCGGAAUUCCAGGUGUAGCGGUGAAAUGCGUAGAUAUCUGGAGGAACACCGGUGGCGAAGGCGGCAUCCUGGACCGGUAUUGACGCUGAGGCGCGAAAGCCGGGGGAGCAAACGGG
rnacentral:rRNA from 1 species